rnacentral:rRNA from 1 species
UACGUAGGGUGCAAGCGUUGUCCGGAAUUAUUGGGCGUAAAGAGCUCGUAAGCGGUCUGUCGCGUCUGCUGUGAAAACUCAGGGCUUAACCCUGAGCUUGCAGUGGGUACGGGCAGACUAGAGUGCGGUAGGGGAGACUGGAAUUCCUGGUGUAGCGGUGAAAUGCGCAGAUAUCAGGAGGAACACCGGUGGCGAAGGCGGGUCUCUGGGCCGUAACUGACGCUGGAGGAGCG